AUUACAUUCUUAAAAAAAACUGGAAAAAAUAAAUUGGGUUCAAUUUUAUGUUUCUGUACUUAAUGUCAGACAUUUGAAUCUGCUUCCUGAUCUGCAUUAUCUGUCUGAAUGCAUAGGUCAUGGUUCUGCUCCCUGACAGGUGACGAUAAUGAUACCUUGGUUUUAGGUGACAUAUUAGACGUGUCGCUGACUGAACGGUGCACAGGAGAUGCUAGAUGCCCUGUGGCUUCUUUGCUCUGUGUUCAGUGGGUUACAGUUGCUGACUAUAUAUGUUGUAUAGAGGUGAAGUUACUGGACACCGUUCAUGGUAGUGAGUUCCUCCAGUGUUUGUUCUGUGUCUGAGCAUUUUAUAUAAUGCCCCAAAAACAUCAAACCCAUAAUUUUUUUAUUCUAUUUUGAUGACAAAUUGUUAAUUUCUCUUUCGUGACAAAUGUUUGUAAAGAUGUAUUAAGCAUAAGCUCCACUGUAUUUUUGUUUGUUUGUUUGUUAUUGUAAUAAAAUAGCAGCUAUAAAUAUUUAUUGUUAGUAUAUAUAAAGGCAUAUUGACUUACUCGUUAUUAAUAAUAUUGUAGAUAACAAAUUUAUGCCUAAUUAUUAUAAAGAAAUAUAAAGAACUGGUGUUUUCUGUGUCAGUUUCCGGUUUCUAGUCGGAUGCAUUUAUGUACGUACCAAACUCGGAAACUCGUCAAGGUUGUAAACAACGCUACCAAUCCGUAACCGUAAUAAUAUAACCUAUUAAUACCCGAGUUAAUGCGAUGAGUGGAGAUUCAGUGGACGGUGCAGAAUGUAAAAUGCCCAAAGCUGAAGAACUGAGAGCUUUCGUCUCUCAGAGACUCGCCGCUGCCUCCAGGGAGAUCUUAGCGGCGGUAGAGCGACUCGUAGCCGGAUACGAGGCGGAGGCGUCGGGCUUCAGACAGGAGAUCGAGCGGCAGAGGAAGCAGCUGGAGACGCUUCAGCGGCCGCUGUUCGCCUCCACCGAACCCGGUACAAAGUGCAGCUGGAUCCAGAGCCAUGAUGAGGAAGAGGAGGAGGAAGAAGAGGAGGAGGAAGAGGAGGAGGAAGAGGAGCUUCCUGUGUGUGUAGAGAACCUGGAAGACCUGAGUCCAACCUCAACAAGGGUUCAGUUUGGGAAGAGGAAAACUGGCAGACCUCGGAUUAGCAGCAGGAACGUGGAUCUGAAGGUCUGUUUCCUGGAGGACUCCAACGCCCAGCGACUGUCAAAAAAUGGUAAUUAAAAAUAACAUGAAAACAAUAUGGGACAGGAAGGAUCGACUUCGUAUUGUUCACCUGUUUUUUCUUCACCUCAAUGUUGAAACUGAAAAAAUGAUUUUCACAAUAAAAACUGAAAGGUGUCAUUGUUGAUUCA
rnacentral:lncRNA from 1 species